rnacentral:lncRNA from 1 species
UUUGUACACACACAAAAAGACAACAUAAAACCUUAUUGAUAGUACAACAAUGUUAAGGAGACUUGGGAUGCAGAAGAAGACACGCUGGCAAAAUGGGCAAAUAUUAAUCUGAAAAAACUAAGAAAGCAGGAAAUUGUUGUCAAGGUUUAAAUACACGUUCAUGGAGACACAGUAUAUAUGGAAGUAAUCUGGGAUAUCAAAAACAUAACAUGGGAGCAGACCUGUAAAGGAGUCAUUUUUCUAUGUGACUGAAGUCAAACUGUUACCAGUUUAAAACAGGAUGUUAUAAAUCUAAAGUGUUUUCUGUAAUUGCAAUGGUAACCACAAAGAAUGUAUAGAAGACACACACAAUGGAAAUAAAAGUAUGUCAAGACAAAAGAAUCAACUAAAUAAACACAAAGGCAGUAACGGAUAUGAAGAACAAAAAAAUCUAAGAGAUAUAGGAAACAUUCAGCAAAACAGCAAGAGUGAGUCCUUCUCUAUCAGUAAUUACAUUAAGUGUAAGUGGCUUAAACUCCACAAUCAGAAGAUAGAGACUGGCUGAAUGAAUUUUAAAAACAGGCUCCAACUACAUACUAUCCACAAAAGAUUCAUUUUUAUUUGAAGGACACACGCAGGCUGAAUUGAAAGG